GGCGAACGCUGGCGGCGUGCCUAAUACAUGCAAGUCGAACGCUUCUUUCCUCCCGAGUGCUUGCACUCAAUUGGAAAGAGGAGUGGCGGACGGGUGAGUAACACGUGGGUAACCUACCCAUCAGAGGGGGAUAACACUUGGAAACAGGUGCUAAUACCGCAUAACAGUUUAUGCCGCAUGGCAUAAGAGUGAAAGGCGCUUUCGGGUGUCGCUGAUGGAUGGACCCGCGGUGCAUUAGCUAGUUGGUGAGGUAACGGCUCACCAAGGCCACGAUGCAUAGCCGACCUGAGAGGGUGAUCGGCCACACUGGGACUGAGACACGGCCCAGACUCCUACGGGAGGCAGCAGUAGGGAAUCUUCGGCAAUGGACGAAAGUCUGACCGAGCAACGCCGCGUGAGUGAAGAAGGUUUUCGGAUCGUAAAACUCUGUUGUUAGAGAAGAACAAGGACGUUAGUAACUGAACGUCCCCUGACGGUAUCUAACCAGAAAGCCACGGCUAACUUCGUG
rnacentral:rRNA from 1 species